CCAUCCCGCCCAGCUCAGGCCCCGCCGGGCCGCGGAGGUGUGUUUGGAGUCGGGUUAGGUCACUUAUUCGCCGCCCGCUCGCCCUGGGCUCGGGGAAGGGGCUGGUGGGCAGCGGCGUGUGCCCGUCCCCGGGGAAAGCACUGAACUGACAGCGCUUAGCGUGGUGUAAAGUAAGAAGACGAUGUGGAAAUAAAGAACAAUCGUAACAUCCAUUUGAACGGUCAGUUCCACCAAAAGAUCCACAGUAGCAUCAUAAAGUUUCAGCCACAGGACUGGGAACAAAAUGCUCCUGUCAGCAAUAAUUCAAACCCAGUGAGAGGUGCAUCCCUUCUCCACGCUGCUUUGAGUCUGCUCCAAAUACUUCAAAAGAUAAUCCUGCAAUAGUAGCCUUACUGUUACUGUUGCUUGCAACUGCAGCCCAGCGGUCCCCAUUAUAAACUACUUUCUGAACUAGUGUACCCUGACUCAAUCAGCAAUCCAUGUCAUCAGACGAAAAGAGAAGGAGAAAACAUUUGGAUAGCUUCUAACUUCAGCAUAGCCAUACCAAGAUUACAAAACACACACCCACCAAAAGAAGAAAAGCAAUGCUUCAGACAGCAUUGUAGAUUAUGAUGGACAUUAUAGUUUAGGGAAGUGAGGUGAAACAGGAUCAGUUCUGUGUUUGUGUGGAGACAUUUGCAAUCAAUAAAUAAAAUUGUGUUCAAACAUU